AUUAAGAGACCAAAGAGGAGAGAGGCCAUGUCUACACUCAGUGUUCUCACCUGUAAGCAUCUGAAUGAUUAGUAGCCUAAGAUU
ensembl:snoRNA predicted gene, 23994